rnacentral:rRNA from 1 species
UACGUAGGUGGCAAGCGUUGUCCGGAUUUAUUGGGUUUAAAGGGUGCGUAGGCGGCUUUGUAAGUCAGUGGUGAAAUAUGGCAGCUUAACUGUCAAGGUGCCAUUGAUACUGCGGAGCUUGAGUACAGAUGAGGUAGGCGGAAUUGACGGUGUAGCGGUGAAAUGCUUAAAUAUCGUCAAGAACACCUAUAGCGAAGGCAGCUUACUAGGCUGUAACUGACGCUGAGGCACGAAAGUGUGGGGAUCAAACAGG